GGCGAACGCUGGCGGCGUGCUUAACACAUGCAAGUCGAACGGUGAAGCGAGUGCUUGCACUCGUGGAUCAGUGGCGAACGGGUGAGUAACACGUGAGUAACCUGCCCAUCACUCUGGGAUAAGCACUGGAAACGGUGUCUAAUACUGGAUACGACCAACCCUUGCAUGGGGUGUUGGUGGAAAGAUUUAUCGGUGAUGGAUGGACUCGCGGCCUAUCAGCUUGUUGGCGGGGUAAUGGCCCACCAAGGCGACGACGGGUAGCCGGCCUGAGAGGGUGACCGGCCACACUGGGACUGAGACACGGCCCAGACUCCUACGGGAGGCAGCAGUGGGGAAUAUUGCACAAUGGGCGAAAGCCUGAUGCAGCGACGCCGCGUGAGGGAUGACGGCCUUCGGGUUGUAAACCUCUUUCAGCAGGGAAGAAGCGAAAGUGACGGUACCUGCAGAAGAAGCACCGGCUAACUACGUG
rnacentral:rRNA from 1 species